rnacentral:lncRNA from 1 species
UUGAAAAUGAGUAAUUGAGACAACUGGGAAACCCUUAGCAGAAGUGCAACUCUUAGAAAAAUGACUAACAAGUGAAAAAUAAGCAGCCAAGUCUUCUGCCCAGUGGAAAUAAAUGCCGAAGCAAACAUGCAAAAGGCCAUACAUCCAACCAUUGGGCGCUUCCCAGAACGUCUGUUCUCACUUCUCACACAAUUCUAAAUGUUUAACGAGUUUUCAAGUCUACAGAAGAUGGAAUUUAAGGAAGGGGAACAGACUUCCAGAGAAACCAAAGUUGAAGAAAAAGAGUGACAGCAAUAGACAAAAUGUCAAGUGGGCCAGAGGAGCUCAAAUCUCAUUUAUGGAGAACACUUGGUCCCAAAAGAGUACCAGUAUGGCACAUUUAAAAUGAUGACUGAGCAGUACACAGCCCACACAUAUUCAAAGCUAAGUAUUUGUAGAGCAAGUGUUUUUUAAACGCUUAUAACACAGAUGGUUAAAAAGAAAGAUAAAGGAA